GAGGGGACAGGGGCAAAGAAGUGGCCAACUUUGAAAUGCACAAGAGUCCCCGCUGGGAGCCUGGGGCCUCGUGGAGCCUGGGCCGGCUGGGAGACCCCCCAAUGGUGGCUCUUAUACAUGUCAAAGAGGAAGCAUAGCAUGGCGCCUGGAACCCGUGCAAGAUUCUGAAACCUGAAAACUGAACACUGGGGCUCUUGUGCAUUUCAAAGUGGAAGCAUUUACAUGGAGCCCAGGGUCAGCAGGACUCCCCACAGGCCCCAGGCUUCACGCCAUGUUCCAACUUAGAGAUGCACAAGAGCCCUCGCUUGGGCUCUCGUGCAUUUCAAAGGUAGAACACGGGAGUUCUUAUCAACUAAUCCAAUAGUCGAUGGAAAUCCCAUUGACUAUUCAAUUAAUCAAAAUUUAACAUCCUACUGUGGGCUCUGUAGUAUAAGUAUUAUAUUAAAGAGCCCACUGCCCAAUGCAACAGCUGGCUUUCUGGGAGCAAGACUGGCAGCCGGAGCCAGCAUGUCCCAGCUCCCAGCGGCUAGCUCCAUAUCCAGGGAGCUGGCUGCUGCCCCACACUGCAGACUCUAAUUCAGAGCUACCAGUGUGGAGCAGCAACCAGUUCCCUAGUAGCCGAUGUGUGCUGGAAGCCGGCUUUUAAGCUGGCUUCUGGGGGAAACCGGCUUCUGCCUGCCAGAUUCGCUCCUGGGAAGCCAACUGUUAUCCUGCGCUGCUAAUACAGAACUUAGUGUGUGGUGGCUACCAGCAACCUGGGAAUGGGACUGAUAAUUGGCAUGUAAAUGGUUAACUAAUAAGCAUGAGCUUGUUUCUGUAAAACAGGGGCAGGGAACUUUUUUGGGGGGUCACGGGCCACUGACCCACAAAAAGUCAGGGGCCGCACAGAGGGAUUAAGCAAAAACAAACAAAAAAACCUCACUGACGUGGUCCCCGACUGAGGAGAAAGACACUCCACACAUUCCCCUCGCACACCAGACACUAGGGGGGACCAACCUAAUAGAUGGUGUAUACUCCAGCUCGGUUGCAGAACAAAGCUGGAAUGCCAGUGCAGGCUCCCCAAUGUUGGGGGCCCCUAAGCCUCAGGGGCUGGAUCCAGGCGAGCUGCAUCCAGGCCCGAGGUUCCCCACCCUGGCCGUAAAGGUUAAAUGGUUACACUCAUACAUCACAAAUAAGAAAAUCAAGUGAUUCAAGUGGGAAGUACGGGGAGACCCUUAUAAAGCUGUGGACAAACUUUUUUGAGACAUAACGAGCAAAACGACUAGCAAAUGAAAGUUUAGAACAACACUGAAGAGCAACAGUUGGCUGCCAAAUUUAGCUAGAAACUUAGGCCAUGUCUACAGCAGGAGUGCCAGUUAUAUUAUUCUGCCAAAGUGCUCCUAGGACAGAUGCGACUAUUAAGGCAAAACUGCACUUGAUUGGGUUGGCUGCAUCUACACCAGGGACUUUUGUCAGUGCAGCUAUGUUGGUCAUGGACCACACCCUUGAGCAACAUAACCGUGCUAGCUAGGGAUGUAAACUGAGCCCUCCACACCACAGACAGGACCUACUCCAGCAGCCCCCUGCCCAUGACAAGGCAGGCAGGUUAACAGUUAACAUUUUAAAUGGGAUUUUACAUCCCUAAUGCUAGCAGAAGUCUGCAGUGUGCUCAAAGCCUUAGUUGUGUUAACUUAGGGACUACAGUUCUUGGAUUAGGGAGGAUGUAUGCAGAACAGGUUCUUAAAAUCUUAAAAAUGCAAACAGUGAGGGCAUUUGGUUUUGUGAUGUUUAGAAACAUAGUACUUAUGCAGCAAAAGAGUACUGUUUCAGCUUCCAGAUGACCUCUCCAUAACAAAUUAAAAUACCAAGAUGACUUGUUUGUCCUAAGCCAGAAUGGACACAUUACUAGAACUGAUAGCAGCAGCAGCCGACAUCUCAGUAUUUAUAUGGCUCUCACCACUUCAAUAUCAAAGCAUUACUGUUCUAAAAAACUGAUACCUACUGUUUCAAUUCUCUUGUACUUUUACCAAUUAAAGCAAUUUUUUUCCCUUAGAUGGUCAUUUAAAAUGUCAAGUUCUGAAAAAUUGGUCAAAUCAAGUCAAUUUCCAAGGAGGCUCUCUUUGACGUAUUUAAAAAAA